GGCUCAGUGGCCUAGUGGUCAAGGCCUAUCUUCCGGGUCGGCAUAUUUGCAAGACUAGGUAAUGGAUAAGAUCCUGGGUUCGAAUCCCAGCUGAGCCC